GCUAAACUUCUAGCCUCACACUAAACAAUAAGCCUUUCCACUUUCUUCUAAUAUACUAAAACAUUUUUUCAAUCUAGUAAAGGCGAUAAAAAAAUUUCUUAGAGCAAUAAAAAUAGUACCGCAAGGGAAUGAUGAAAUAAAACUGAAAUAACUAUUAAGCACAAAAAAGUAAUGUUUUCCCCUUGUACCUUUUGCAUCAUGGUUUAACUAGUCCCACUAGGCAAAAAGACUUUUAGUCCAACCCCCCGAACCUAGGCGAGCUACUUUAAGACAGCUUUACGAGCCAACCCGUCUCUGUUGCAAAAGAGUGGGAAGAUCCUAUAGUAGCGGUGAUAGACCUAACGAGCCUAGUGAUAGCUGGUUGCUUUAGAAAAGGAUUUUAGUCCUGCUUAAAGCUAUUUUAUCUAAAAAAAUUUAAACUUUAAAGUUAUUCAAAUAAGGUUCAGCCUAUUUGAAAAAGGAUACAACCUCUACCACUGGGUUACCAAAACCUCCAUAAAACAAAGUAGGCCCAAAAGCAGCCACCUUAAAUAAAAGCGUCAUAGCUUUCCCUUAUGGUCUUACAAUAUCUAAAACUUUUCUUAACCCUUCACCACUAAAAAGCAACUCUAUAUUUUUAUAGAAAAUUUUAUGUUAAAACUAGUAACAAGAAGUAGCCCUUCUCUUAAAUGUGUCCGUCAGUCAACACAAACCCCAUUGAUAAUUAACGUACCUAAAACUAAAGUAAAAACCCCUUCAAGAAAACCUUACUAUUAUUAACGUUACCCUAACACAAGAACAUUAAAAGAAAGAUUAAAAGAUAAGGAAGGAACUCGGCAAACAUUAGCCUCGCCUGUUUACCAAAAACAUCGCCUCUUGAUUAACCAUAAGAGGUCAAGCCUGCCCAGUGACAUUUGUUUAACGGCCGCGGUAUCCUAACCGUGCGAAGGUAGCGUAAUCACUUGUUCUUUAAAUGAGGACUAGUAUGAACGGCUUCACGAAAGCUAUACUGUCUCCCCUAUCCAAUCAGUUAAACUAAUCUCCCCGUGAAGAAGCGGGGAUACAACUAUAAGACGAGAAGACCCUAUGGAGCUUUAAAUAUUCUAAAACAUUUGAGCCCAUAAAUUUUAAAUUUUUCCCGAAGCCUCUAUUAAAUACAUCAUUCUGUUUUAAACUUUAGGUUGGGGUGACCACGGAGUAUAAACUAACCUCCACAUAGAAUGAAACUCUCUUUCUAAACAAAAAGCCACACCUUUAUGCAUCAACACAUUGACCUAAAUUGACCCAAUUUUUUGAUCAACGAACCAAGUUACCCUAGGGAUAACAGCGCAAUCCGCUUUAAGAGCCCCUAUCGACAAGCGGGAUUACGACCUCGAUGUUGGAUCAGGAUGUCCCAGUGGUGCAGCAGCUACUAAUG
rnacentral:rRNA from 1 species